rnacentral:tRNA from 1 species
ACUAUUUUGACAGAAAAAUGUAAUGGUUUUAGAAGUCAUAAAUAUAUAUUAUAUUAAUAUAUAGAUAGUA